GUACACAAUGUUUAUAAUUCCAGGCAAGUGGAAAGAGCAAGUUUCCUCUAUAAUGUAAUUGUACACUUUCUACUUUUAUGAUGACAUACCGGUGCAGCUCUGAAGUAUACCACUUCCAGGGCUGGUCCCUGAAACCACCUAUAAAACCAUCCCGACUCUCUCUUCCCUUAUUUGCUGGCUGGGUGCACAGAACUCCAAGACUCUAGAGAAUGAUGGAGUUCCUCAAUGCAAGGACCUCUGACCAUGCAUGACUGCAAAGAGAGUUACGAGGGACCAGUACUGUGGUGCCAACAUCCCAUACUAAAGUACCAGUCCAGUCCUGGCUGAUCUGCUUCUAAUUCAACUUCCUGCUAACCUCCUUGUGAAGGCAGCAGAAAUUGGACCCUGCUAACCAGGUGGUAGACAUC